rnacentral:rRNA from 1 species
CAUAGGUUAAUGAGGCGAACCGGGGGAACUGAAACAUCUAAGUACCCCGAGGAAAAGAAAUCAACCGAGAUUCCCCCAGUAGCGGCGAGCGAACGGGGAGGAGCCCAGAGCCUGAAUCAGUGUGUGUGUUAGUGGAAGCGUCUGGAAAGGCGCGCGAUACAGGGUGACAGCCCCGUACACAAAAAUGCACAUGCUGUGAGCUCGAUGAGUAGGGCGGGACACGUGGUAUCCUGUCUGAAUAUGGGGGGACCAUCCUCCAAGGCUAAAUACUCCUGACUGACCGAUAGUGAACCAGUACCGUGAGGGAAAGGCGAAAAGAACCCCGGCGAGGGGAGUGAAAAAGAACCUGAAACCGUGUACGUACAAGCAGUGGGAGCCUCUUAAUGGGGUGACUGCGUACCUUUUGUAUAAUGGGUCAGCGACUUAUAUUCUGUAGCAAGGUUAACCGAAUAGGGGAGCCGAAGGGAAACCGAGUCUUAACUGGGCGUUAAGUUGCAGGGUAUAGACCCGAAACCCGGUGAUCUAGCCAUGGGCAGGUUGAAGGUUGGGUAACACUAACUGGAGGACCGAACCGACUAAUGUUGAAAAAUUAGCGGAUGACUUGUGGCUGGGGGUGAAAGGCCAAUCAAACCGGGAGAUAGCUGGUUCUCCCCGAAAGCUAUUUAGGUAGCGCCUCGUGAAUUCAUCUCCGGGGGUAGAGCACUGUUUCGGCAAGGGGGUCAUCCCGACUUACCAACCCGAUGCAAACUGCGAAUACCGGAGAAUGUUAUCACGGGAGACACACGGCGGGUGCUAACGUCCGUCGUGAAGAGGGAAACAACCCAGACCGCCAGCUAAGGUCCCAAAGUCAUGGUUAAGUGGGAAACGAUGUGGGAAGGCCCAGACAGCCAGGAUGUUGGCUUAGAAGCAGCCAUCAUUUAAAGAAAGCGUAAUAGCUCACUGGUCGAGUCGGCCUGCGCGGAAGAUGUAACGGGGCUAAACCAUGCACCGAAGCUGCGGCAGCGACGCUUAUGCGUUGUUGGGUAGGGGAGCGUUCUGUAAGCCUGUGAAGGUGGCCUGUGAGGGUUGCUGGAGGUAUCAGAAGUGCGAAUGCUGACAUAAGUAACGAUAAAGCGGGUGAAAAGCCCGCUCGCCGGAAGACCAAGGGUUCCUGUCCAACGUUAAUCGGGGCAGGGUGAGUCGACCCCUAAGGCGAGGCCGAAAGGCGUAGUCGAUGGGAAACAGGUUAAUAUUCCUGUACUUGGUGUUACUGCGAAGGGGGGACGGAGAAGGCUAUGUUGGCCGGGCGACGGUUGUCCCGGUUUAAGCGUGUAGGCUGGUUUUCCAGGCAAAUCCGGAAAACCAAGGCUGAGGCGUGAUGACGAGGCACUACGGUGCUGAAGCGACAAAUGCCCUGCUUCCAGGAAAAGCCUCUAAGCAUCAGGUAACAUCAAAUCGUACCCCAAACCGACACAGGUGGUCAGGUAGAGAAUACCAAGGCGCUUGAGAGAACUCGGGUGAAGGAACUAGGCAAAAUGGUGCCGUAACUUCGGGAGAAGGCACGCUGAUAUGUAGGUGAAGCGACUUGCUCGUGGAGCUGAAAUCAGUCGAAGAUACCAGCUGGCUGCAACUGUUUAUUAAAAACACAGCACUGUGCAAACACGAAAGUGGACGUAUACGGUGUGACGCCUGCCCGGUGCCGGAAGGUUAAUUGAUGGGGUUAGCGGUAACGCGAAGCUCUUGAUCGAAGCCCCGGUAAACGGCGGCCGUAACUAUAACGGUCCUAAGGUAGCGAAAUUCCUUGUCGGGUAAGUUCCGACCUGCACGAAUGGCGUAAUGAUGGCCAGGCUGUCUCCACCCGAGACUCAGUGAAAUUGAACUCGCUGUGAAGAUGCAGUGUACCCGCGGCAAGACGGAAAGACCCCGUGAACCUUUACUAUAGCUUGACACUGAACAUUGAGCCUUGAUGUGUAGGAUAGGUGGGAGGCUUUGAAGUGUGGACGCCAGUCUGCAUGGAGCCGACCUUGAAAUACCACCCUUUAAUGUUUGAUGUUCUAACGUUGGCCCCUAAUCGGGGUUGCGGACAGUGUCUGGUGGGUAGUUUGACUGGGGCGGUCUCCUCCUAAAGAGUAACGGAGGAGCACGAAGGUUGGCUAAUCCUGGUCGGACAUCAGGAGGUUAGUGCAAUGGCAUAAGCCAGCUUGACUGCGAGCGUGACGGCGCGAGCAGGUGCGAAAGCAGGUCAUAGUGAUCCGGUGGUUCUGAAUGGAAGGGCCAUCGCUCAACGGAUAAAAGGUACUCCGGGGAUAACAGGCUGAUACCGCCCAAGAGUUCAUAUCGACGGCGGUGUUUGGCACCUCGAUGUCGGCUCAUCACAUCCUGGGGCUGAAGUAGGUCCCAAGGGUAUGGCUGUUCGCCAUUUAAAGUGGUACGCGAGCUGGGUUUAGAACGUCGUGAGACAGUUCGGUCCCUAUCUGCCGUGGGCGCUGGAGAACUGAGGGGGGCUGCUCCUAGUACGAGAGGACCGGAGUGGACGCAUCACUGGUGUUCGGGUUGUCAUGCCAAUGGCACUGCCCGGUAGCUAAAUGCGGAAGAGAUAAGUGCUGAAAGCAUCUAAGCACGAAACUUGCCCCGAGAUGAGUUCUCCCUGAGACUUAGAGUCUCCUGAAGGAACGUUGAAGACGACGACGUUGAUAGGCCGGGUGUGUAAGCGCAGCGAUGCGUUGAGCUAACCGGUACUAAUGAACCGUGAGGCUUAACCUUACAACGCCGAAG